AGUCGCGUGGUCUAAUGGUCAUGAUUUCUGAUUCACAUGGGAUGAAUUCGUCUACUUCAGAUGAAUCCAAGUUACUCAGAAGGUUCCCGGUUCGAUCCCGGGCGCGACUA
rnacentral:tRNA from 1 species